CUCACAUCACGUUUGAAAUAUUUCACUCUUUGUGCAGCAUUUUCUGUGUUCGUGAGGCUGCGCCGUCAGAAAGUACACCUGUCGUGGUGAUUUAUAGAGUAUUUUGUCUGUGUGUGUGACGCUGCGCCGUCAGACGUUCACCCAUUUCAGAGAUUUUGUGUGUGUUUGGUCUGUGCUGGUGACGCUGUGCCGUCAGAAAGUUCACCUGUCCUAGAUAUUUCGUGAGGUGAAUUAGACAUGGAUCCACUGUUGCCCACCCUGAGCAUCGUUGACACCAGUGUGCCACAGGACAGACAACAGUGCUUUCUUAAAGCAUCGAAGGACGCCAAGACCCUGGCCUCUCGCAACAGGUGCUUCGAGCGGAACACUAGCCAGGACAAAAAAACUGCUUGUGAGGAAGGUAA